UACGUAGGGAGCAAGCGUUGUCCGGAAUCAUUGGGCGUAAAGCGCGCGUAGGCGGCCCUGUAAGUCCGUUGUGAAAGUCAAAGGCUCAACCUUUGAAAGCCGAUGGAUACUGCAGGGCUAGAGUCCGGAAGAGGCGAGUGGAAUUCCUGGUGUAGCGGUGGAAUGCGCAGAUAUCAGGAGGAACACCAAUAGCGAAGGCAGCUCGCUGGGACGGUACUGACGCUAAGGCGCGAAAAGCGUGGGGAGCGAACAGG
rnacentral:rRNA from 1 species